UGGGGAAUUUUGCGCAAUGGGGGAAACCCUGACGCAGCAACGCCGCGUGAGUGAUGAAGGCUCUUGGGUCGUAAAGCUCUGACAGAGGGAAAGAAGUGUAUGGUGGUUAAUACCCAUUGUACUUGACGGUACCCUCAAAG
rnacentral:rRNA from 1 species